GACGAACGCUGGCGGCGUGCUUAACACAUGCAAGUCGAACGGAAAGGCCCUGCUUUCGUGGGGUGCUCGAGUCGAGAACGGGUGUGUAACACGUGUGAGAUCUGCUCCAGACCUUGGGAUACCUUCAGGAAACUGGGGCUAAUACCGGAUAGGAGCUCCUGCUGGAUGGUGGGGGUAGGAAAGUUUCGGCGGUUGGGGAUGGACUCGCGGUCUAUCAGCUUGUUGGUGGGGUAGUGGCCUACCAAGGCAUUGACGGGUAGCCGGCGUGAGAGGGUGACCGGACACAUUGGGACUGAGAUGCGGCCGAGACUCAUGCGGGGGAGAGGAGUGGGAUAUUUUACACAAGGGGCGGGAGCCUUGUGCAGCAGCGGCGCGUGCGGGAAAGGGGUCUGCGGUGUGUACUCCGCUUGCGCCUGUGACAGAGCGUUAGUGACGGUAAUGAGUAAAGAAGCACCGGCUAACUACGUG
rnacentral:rRNA from 1 species